GACGAACGCUGGCGGCGUGCUUAACACAUGCAAGUCGAACGGUGAAGCGCCUUCCUUUUUGGUGGGUGUGGAUGAGUGGCGAACGGGUGAGUAACACGUGAGUAACCUGCCCCCUUCUUCUGGAUAACCGCAUGAAAGUGUGGCUAAUACGGGAUAUUCUGAGUCUGUCGCAUGAUGGGUCUGGGAAAGAUAUUGUUUCGGUGGGGGAUGGGCUCGCGGCCUAUCAGCUUGUUGGUGGGGUGAUGGCCUACCAAGGCGGUGACGGGUAGCCGGCCUGAGAGGGUGGACGGUCACACUGGGACUGAGACACGGCCCAGACUCCUACGGGAGGCAGCAGUGGGGAAUAUUGCACAAUGGGCGCAAGCCUGAUGCAGCGACGCCGCGUGAGGGAUGGAGGCCUUCGGGUUGUGAACCUCUUUCGCCAGUGAAGCAGGCCUGCCUCGUUUGUGGGUGGGUUGACGGUAGCUGGAUAAGAAGCGCCGGCUAACUACGUG
rnacentral:rRNA from 1 species